GUUGAGUCGGGUUUUGCCUCUGGGUCUGGCUGACUCUGCUGUGCUGUGUGUUGGUUAAGAUGCUGCUGUCCCGUGAUGCCCCUGGCUGAAUGGUCCGGAGACCCGCUUCUCUCUCUCCUGGGCGCCCUUCUCCAUCUCCAGGCCACCCUCUUGGAGUCAGUGGGACUUUGUGCUCAGUGCUGGGGACACAGCAAUGGACAAGAUCCUCAUGGAGAUCGCGUUCCAAUGGAGGAACACAGACAAAAAACAUAAUCGGGAAGUAAAAUAUAUCGUGGUCCAGAGUGAUAAGCUCUGAGAAGAAAAAUAGAACAGGAAAAGGAAGCGAGGGGUGGAUUUUUCUGUUCGUUUAUAAAUAAGGUGUCCGAGGAAGGUCUAAUUGAGAAAACGACACAGGAGCCAAGAUGGCAAGGAGGUGAGGAGGUGCUACGUGGAUGGCAGCCCAGCCCUGGGAAGAGCCGUCCUCUCUGUACUCUGGUCUAGGGGCUGGGCUUAAAGUGGUCCGUGGGCCUAUAUGAAUCCUCUGCUCCCAUCCAUCCAUCCGUUCACCCCCACAGCUACCUGGCCUCCUCCCCAUCCCUCCCUGUCUCCUUUCUGUCUUUCUACCGUCCCUCCUCACACCCAUCCAGCCCCUCCUUAGCACCCCAAACUAUCCAGGCACUGCCCCAGGCACUGCGGCCGCAUCCAACAACUCGGCAGAUGGGGCCCCUGCUCUCUCGGACUUGCCACGCAGCGUGUCCGGCCCUGAAGCAACUUCACAGGACAGAAUAAGACCAAUAGAGACUCUGAAUUCUUACCCAUUUAAGAUCACGCAACAAGUUUGUGACUACACGCGAUUUCCAAGUUAACCAUUUCCUAAGUCAUUUCAAAUAAAGUCACAAGCGCUGAAAACCCGG